rnacentral:tRNA from 1 species
UAACUUUGGCACAGAUGCGAUGUUUUUUGCUGAAAAGGAAUUGUUAACACAGAAUAAGCUUAAUGUUCCAGCCAUUAAUGGUCAU